GUCUACGGCCAUACCACCCUGAACGCGCCCGAUCUCGUCUGAUCUCGGAAGCUAAGCAAGGUCGGGCCUGGUUAGUACUUGGAUGGGAGACAGCCUGGGAAUACCGGGUGCUGUAGGCU
rnacentral:rRNA from 1 species